UAAAAGGGUGCUUGCCUUGUUACGCUUCUGUAUGGCACAUCUGUGCGGUGCCGUGCUGGUUGAGUCCAGCCCGGUGUCCGUUCCGGUGGGGUAUGGCCAUCAAGACAUAUCCAGCACGUAAUUUUUGACCUCCGAGGGCUGUUGACUCGCUCCUACUCUGCGUCGACGCCUUC
rfam:Anopheles stephensi strain SDA-500 unplaced genomic scaffold supercont1.20, whole genome shotgun sequence.